GUCACUUGCGGUGAUUCGGCUACAGAACGCGCCGGGCGCUGGUGGCAGGUGGUACAGGCACGUGGAUCCACCGACCACAAGGACGGAUUCGAUUGGAUUCUGAUUGACCGGCGGACCAGCUCCAGAGUAAUUGUCUAUGGCUGCCCCUGCAAUGACUGAUUGAUUGACAAUGGCUGAGAGACCAGCAAGUGAGUCGCUCCGAGAAAGCGAAGGAGCCCACUCUUGUGCGGCGCUUUGGGAAGACGCCUGUUGGUUUUGACCCCGAAUAAGAAGAGGAAGCUGAGAGCGGGCUGACUGUGGUCCAGUCCUACUUCGAUUCAGUGUGAACUGACACUCUGAUCUGAAGACGCUCAGGCCUUUGUCAUUUCAGCACCCCAGAUGCUAUUUUCCAUUCGAAGAAUGCCGCCACCAGGUGGCGGUAUUUUAACAUGGCCAUGCAAUCCGGAGCCAGAGGCUUGCUCUGUCACCCAGGCUAGAGUGCAGUGUCGUAAUCUAGCUCACUGCAGCCUCCAAUUCCCAAGCUCAAGCGAUCCUCCUGCCUCAGCCUCUGAGUCACUGGGAUUACAGGCGUGAGCUACCGCACCCGGUCUUUUUGCAUUACUAACCUGUGAUAUGGGUUUAUGGGACUUCAUUAUUUCAAAGGGAGGCAGCUUGGCCCCGGAGAGCAUGCAUUCCUGGCUUCUGCGAUGGAUAGACUUGUGUUCUCCAUCUCAGGAGCUCCCCCUCAAGGUGGGGGUAAGAGAUGAGGGCUUCCACUCUGGCUUUGUUCGAGAUGUCUUGAUGCCAAGAGGAGCAAACUAGUUAAGCGGUUGGUGUACACAGGAGGCUCCAGUGAUGGGGAGCGGCUGUAAAUACAGAUGAAGCUUUGCUGCCUGCCUGCUCACUGCCUGCCUGCUCACCUCCUGCUCUGCGGCCCAGUUCCUAACAGGCCACAGACAGGUACCAGUCUAUGGCCCAGAUGAUGCAGACCCCUGUCUUAAACAAAAACAAAAAACCAAAGCACACUUAAUGUGAGAUCUACUCUCUUAGCAAAAUUUUUGUUUUUGUUGUCGUUGACACGGAGCCUCAUUCUGUUGCCCAG
rnacentral:lncRNA from 1 species